UACGAAGGGGGCUAGCGUUGCUCGGAAUCACUGGGCGUAAAGCGCACGUAGGCGGCUUUUUAAGUCAGGGGUGAAAUCCUGGAGCUCAACUCCAGAACUGCCUUUGAUACUGAGAAGCUUGAGUCCGGGAGAGGUGAGUGGAACUGCGAGUGUAGAGGUGAAAUUCGUAGAUAUUCGCAAGAACACCAGUGGCGAAGGCGGCGCUCUGGACCGAGACUGACGCUGAGGCGCGAAAGCGUGGGGAGCAAACAGG
rnacentral:rRNA from 1 species